rnacentral:lncRNA from 1 species
UGAUCACGUGAACACUUCGUGCAUCGGCGUGUGAAUGCACGUGUGCACAGCCAAGCCAGUACCAGCCGAGGGCCGACAAGCUCUGCUCUGCCACAACCUUGCGCGACUCGGUGCAAGCUGCGCCUAUUACAACAGCGGA